rnacentral:rRNA from 1 species
AGUGAACGCUGGCGGUAGGCCUAACACAUGCAAGUCGAACGGCAGCACAGUAAGAGCUUGCUCUUACGGGUGGCGAGUGGCGGACGGGUGAGGAAUACAUCGGAAUCUACUUUUUCGUGGGGGAUAACGUAGGGAAACUUACGCUAAUACCGCAUACGACCUACGGGUGAAAGCAGGGGAUCUUCGGACCUUGCGCGAUUGAAUGAGCCGAUGUCGGAUUAGCUAGUUGGCGGGGUAAAGGCCCACCAAGGCGACGAUCCGUAGCUGGUCUGAGAGGAUGAUCAGCCACACUGGAACUGAGACACGGUCCAGACUCCUACGGGAGGCAGCAGUGGGGAAUAUUGGACAAUGGGCGCAAGCCUGAUCCAGCCAUACCGCGUGGGUGAAGAAGGCCUUCGGGUUGUAAAGCCCUUUUGUCGGGAAAGAAAAGCAGCAGGUUAAUACCCCGCUGUUCUGACGGGACCCAAAGAAUAAGCACCGGCGAACUUCGU